rnacentral:rRNA from 1 species
UACGAAGGGUGCAAACGUUGCUCGGAAUUAUUGGGCGUAAAGCGCACGUAGGCGGCAUUGCAAGUCGGAUGUGAAAUCCCUCGGCUUAACCAAGGAAGUGCAUCCGAAACUGCAGUGCUUGAGUACUUAAGAGGAUCGCGGAAUUCCCGGUGUAGAGGUGAAAUUCGUAGAUAUCGGGAGGAACACCAGUGGCGAAGGCGGCACUCUGGGCCGGUACUGACGCUGAGGAGCGAAAGCGUGGGGAGCGAACAGG